GACGAACGCUGGCGGCGUGCUUAACACAUGCAAGUCGAACGGAAAGGCCCUGCUUUUGUGGGGUGCUCGAGUGGCGAACGGGUGAGUAACACGUGAGUAACCUGCCCUUGACUUUGGGAUAACUUCAGGAAACUGGGGCUAAUACCGGAUAGGAGCUCCUGCUGCAUGGUGGGGGUUGGAAAGUUUCGGCGGUUGGGGAUGGACUCGCGGCUUAUCAGCUUGUUGGUGGGGUAGUGGCUUACCAAGGCUUUGACGGGUAGCCGGCCUGAGAGGGUGACCGGCCACAUUGGGACUGAGAUACGGCCCAGACUCCUACGGGAGGCAGCAGUGGGGAAUAUUGCACAAUGGGCGGAAGCCUGAUGCAGCAACGCCGCGUGCGGGAUGACGGCCUUCGGGUUGUAAACCGCUUUCGCCUGUGACGAAGCGUGAGUGACGGUAAUGGGUAAAGAAGCACCGGCUAACUACGUGCCAGCAGCCGCGGUGAUACGUAGGGUGCGAGCGUUGUCCGGAUUUAUUGGGCGUAAAGGGUUCGUAGGUGGUUGAUCGCGUCGGAAGUGUAAUCUUGGGGCUUAACCCUGAGCGUGCUUUCGAUACGGGUUGACUUGAGGAAGGUAGGGGAGAAUGGAAUUCCUGGUGGAGCGGUGGAAUGCGCAGAUAUCAGGAGGAACACCAGUGGCGAAGGCGGUUCUCUGGGCCUUUCCUGACGCUGAGGAGCGAAAGCGUGGGGAGCGAACAGGCUUAGAUACCCUGGUAGUCCACGCUGUAAACGGUGGGUACUAGGUGUGGGGUCCAUUCCACGGGUUCCGUGCCGUAGCUAACGCUUUAAGUACCCCGCCUGGGGAGUACGGCCGCAAGGCUAAAACUCAACGGAAUUGACGGGGCCCCGCACAAGCGGCGGAGCAUGCGGAUUAAUUCGAUGCAACGCGUAGAACCUUACCUGGGUUUGACAUGGAUCGGGAGCGCUCAGAGAUGGGUGUGCCUCUUUUGGGGUCGGUUCACAGGUGGUGCAUGGCUGUCGUCAGCUCGUGUCGUGAGAUGUUGGGUUAAGUCCCGCAACGAGCGCAACCCUUGUUCACUGUUGCCAGCACGUUAUGGUGGGGACUCAGUGGAGACCGCCGGGGUCAACUCGGAGGAAGGUGGGGAUGACGUCAAGUCAUCAUGCCCCUUAUGUCCAGGGCUUCACGCAUGCUACAAUGGCUGGUACAGAGAGUGGCGAGCCUGUGAGGGUGAGCGAAUCUCGGAAAGCCGGUCUCAGUUCGGAUUGGGGUCUGCAACUCGACCUCAUGAAGUCGGAGUCGCUAGUAAUCGCAGAUCAGCAACGCUGCGGUGAAUACGUUCCCGGG
rnacentral:rRNA from 1 species